UACAGAGGUCUCAAGCGUUGUUCGGAUUCAUUGGGCGUAAAGAGCUUGUAGGCGGUUUGUCGCGUCUGCUGUGAAAUUUCGGGGCUCAACCCCGAACCUGCAGUGGGUACGGGCAGACUAGAGUGUGGUAGGGGAGACUGGAAUUCCUGGUGUAGCGGUGAAAUGCGCAGAUAUCAGGAGGAACACCGAUGGCGAAGGCAGGUCUCUGGGCCAUAACUGACGCUGAGAAGCGAAAGCAUGGGGAGCGAACAGG
rnacentral:rRNA from 1 species